UACGUAGGGUGCGAGCGUUAAUCGGAAUUACUGGGCGUAAAGGGUGCGCAGGCGGUUAUAUAAGACAGAUGUGAAAUCCCCGGGCUCAACCUGGGAACUGCGUUUGUGACUGUAUGACUAGAGUACGGUAGAGAGGGGUGGAAUUCCUGGUGUAGCAGUGAAAUGCGUAGAUAUCAGGAGGAACAUCGAUGGCGAAGGCAGCCCCUUGGACCUGUACUGACGCUGAGGAGCGAAAGCGUGGGGAGCGAACAGG
rnacentral:rRNA from 1 species